AGACGGAAGGAAGAGAUGCUUCGAGCCGGAGCCAUGGCGGCGGCGCUGCACCUCUCGCCGCCGGCCCGCUUCCCCCGCCGCUUCCUCUCUCUCACGGCCACUCCAUACCCGCUCUACUACGACCUGCUCAUCCACCGUCCCGCCAAAUCACCCCCCAGAUCCUCCCCCUCCGAAGCCGCCGCGCCCACGCCGCCACCCGAGGACGCCGCCGAGCAGGGGCUCGACCGCGCGAAGCGGCGGUACCUGCGGAAGCGGCGGAGCAGGCAGUUCCCGGACCCGGACGCCGCCACGGGGACCAAGCCGACGACCACGUCGGAGAUGGUGGAGCUGCGGCCCGAGGUGGUGGACUUCCCGCGGCUGCACGCGCGGGAGGAGGCGCUCUACUUCCACGACGCCUUCGCCAUGCCCUGGGAGAAGGACAAGCACUACCGCAUGCUCUACCGCCUCGAGAAGAAGUACUUCCCGGAGCAGUCCCUCGACAACGCAUUCGUCGCCGCCGAUGCUUCCGGCGCUCCUUCCGGCGCCGACAAGGGGCUCGUCUUCUUCGAGGAAGAGAAGAUGGGGGGAGACGAAGGGGUGGUCGAGAAGAAGGAGGGUGAUAAAGGGGUGGUGCUGGAGAGGAAGGUGGAGGACUUCUUCAGGUCCCUGAAGAAAGGGCCUGCUGGGGCUGGGGAAGCUGACCCAGUGUCGCCGAAGAAGAAGACAGGGUUGGGUUUGGAGCCUCGGCAGGUGAAGCGUGAUGUGGAGAGGGAGGAGGACUGGCCGCAGCCGCACCUCGCAAGUAGGAGGACGGAGCUGCCGCCGAGGUGGGACGGGCCGACCGGGACCGUCGUGCUCAUCGAUAAGCCCAAAGGAUGGACUUCAUUUACUGUUUGCGGAAAGCUGCGGCGUCUAGUGAAAGUGCAAAAGGUUGGUCACGCUGGUACUCUGGAUCCUAUGGCGACUGGAUUGUUGAUUGUUUGUGUGGGCAAAGCAACCAAAGUUGUUGAUAGAUACCAAGGAAUGGUUAAAGGCUACAGCGGUGUUUUCCGACUUGGAGAAGCAACAUCAACUUGGGAUGCAGAUUCACCAGUUAUUCAGAGAGAACCAUGGGAACAUAUUAAAGAUGAAGAUAUUAGAAAGGCAGCAUCAUCAUUCAUGGGGGAGAUAUGGCAAGUUCCUCCGAUGUUUUCUGCCAUUAAGGUUGGUGGUGAAAAAAUGUAUGACAAAGCAAGAAGGGGAGAAACAGUGGAGCUCUCACCGAGACGUAUAUCAAUAUACAAGUUUGAUAUUGAGCGCAGUUUAGAAGACAGGCAGAAUAUGAUAUUUCGAGUUACUUGCUCAAAAGGAACAUACAUUCGGUCCCUCUGUGCAGACUUGGGGAAAGCGCUUCGAAGGUUUCUCAACAAGAUUGUGUUAUUAGGUCUGUGUGCAAUAUUCUUGUAACUCUUAGCAUCUUACUAGCUGUGCUCAUUUAACUGCCCUGCGGAGAGACUCAAUUGGUGACUAUUCGGUCAAUGACGCUUGGAACUUCGAUGAACUUCAAGAACAAAUUACCAAGGGAUAUUUGUGAGAAUUGGCCAUGCCCUUGGGAAGAUUGCAUUGCAAUCAAGAGCUGCUGUUUCCAGAUAUGUGGUGGAAGUGGAACUUAGCCCUGUGGUCAUGAACAGAGGCGCGGAUACGGCUGUAUAGUCUGUGUAAUCCGACGUUUUGUCUGAUGUCUCCUUGUAAUCUAGGAAUUCAUUCACUAACCCUCAACACUGUAUGGCUGUCGCAGUUCUAUGUUUUGCAAAAUUGUAAUGAUGCAUACUGGGAUGCAGUUCGUCUGUGGCAAAUUUUGAUGUUCAAUAUACAUGAUGGAUUUUUGAUCAAA